AUUGUUUCACCGGGGGGAACUAAUUUUUUUCUAAAACAAAAAAUAUCUUAAAAGAAAAAGUUAAAGUUGAAGUUAAUUUAAUUGAAAUUUUGGAGUGCGGAGGAAGAAGGCAAUUGAAUUGUGGUGGUACCCCGAGAGAGAACCCUGAUAAGUUGGAGAUUCCAUAUCUGAAUGGAAGAAGUGAUCUGAAAGAGCAUUUGAAUUUGCAUUUGGAAGUUGUGAAGAAGAAGAAGAAGAAAGGAUGAGUACUCAGGGUCAAGGAGGAUCUCAUUCCCUCGCGUUUCGGGUGAUGAGGCUAUGCCGCCCUUCUUUCAACGUCGACCCUCCCCUCCGCCUCGACCCCGCCGACCUCUUCGUCGGAGAAGAUCUCUUCGACGAUCCCUCCGCUGCCCCCAACCUCUCCUCCCCCUCCGAUUCCGAUUCCGAUCCCAACUAUCGCAACCGCUUCCUCCUUAACCAUUUCUCCGACUCCAUGGGACUCUCUGGCCUCCUCGUUCUUCCUCAGUCUUUCGGAGCCAUUUACUUGGGAGAGACUUUCUGCAGCUAUAUCAGUAUAAACAACAGCUCCACUUUUGAAGUCAGAGAAAUAACCAUCAAGGCUGAAAUUCAAACAGAAAGACAGAGAAUACUUCUUCUGGACACUUCAAAGUCACCAGUUGAAUCCAUACGUGCUGGUGGGCGUUAUGAUUUUAUUGUGGAACAUGAUGUGAAAGAGCUUGGACCUCACACGCUGGUCUGCACUGCAUUGUACAAUGAUGGUGAUGGUGAGCGUAAAUAUCUUCCUCAAUUUUUCAAGUUCAUUGUUGCUAAUCCGCUUUCAGUUAGGACAAAGGUCCGCGUUAUCAAGGUACGUUGAUGAUUUGAAUAUACUAUUAAAGUGAAGCUACCUAUUUGGAAGCUUGUAUUGAAAACCAUACAAAAUCAAACCUUUUCAUGGACCAAGUUGAUUUUGAACCUGCUCAGUAUUAUAGUGCAACAAUACUUAAAGGUGACGGGCACCAUUCUGAAUACGAUAGUCUUACAAGGGAGACAUUUAAACCGCCAAUACUAAUUAGAUCCGGUGGAGGAAUUUACAACUAUCUUUAUCAAUUGAAAUCAUCAUCAGAUGGUUCUGCUCAAACAAAGGUUGAAGGAAGUAAUGUUCUUGGUAAACUCCAGAUAACAUGGCGAACAAAUUUGGGUGAACCAGGUCGCCUGCAGACCCAGCAAAUAUUGGGGACUCCGACAACAAAGAAGGAGAUUGAGUUGCAAGUUGUAGAAGUUCCAUCCGUAAUUAACCUUCAAAAACCUUUCAUGGAAUUAGCAAAAAUUUGCUGAAGUUGAUUACUUGUUUGCAGCUGAAACUGAAUCUUACAAACCAGACAGAUAGAGAGCUGGGUCCGUUUGAAGUUAGCUUUUCUCAAAAUGGUUCAUAUGGGGAGAGAGUUGUUAUGAUUAAUGGCCUUCAAUCAAUGGUUUUAUCACAGGUAGAGGCUUUAGGGUCCAGAAAUUUCCACCUGAAUCUCAUAGCUACAAAACCUGGAAUUCAGAGAAUUACGGGCAUUACUGUUUUUGAUACUAGUGAGAUGAAAUCUUAUGAACCACUUCCUGAUUUAGAGAUUUUUGUGGACAUGGAUUAAAAUUGUGGCAACUGCAACCAGUUUGGUCAGAAGUGGUUGACAAUGCCAUAUUUUCAGAACUUUGAUCUGCUGUUAUCUGCAGUUAAUGUUCUGGGUCAUCAAUGUGCCUAGUCAGACCUACUAAAUCCCCAAUUGGUGACUCGCUGAUGCCACUAGACUUAGAUUCCCUUCCAGUUAGGACCAACGAAUCCUGCAUGAUCAUCAAAGCAUCGUUGGACUAAUUGCAAAGUUCUGUAACUAAAUUGGAGUAAUGAGUGGUUGAUUAUGUGCUGAUAGGGAAAGUCCGUGCUUUUACUGGUUCAAGGAGCUCAGUUAUUUUGAUUGUCAUUGAAAACCAAACCAUUGUCACAAUAUAUUUAUCCAACUGCUUAAUCAUCAUCCCUAUAGACGGUUUACAUCGCAGUUUUUCUCUUAUUGUAGUAACUGGUCAACUAUACUGAUGUCUCUUAAAGACAGAAUUUUAUUCAUUAUAAAAAACUUUAUCAUUU